AUCACUUUUCGGCCUUUUGGCUAAAAUCAAGUGCAGUAUCUGUCCUUAUCAGUUUACUACCUGAUACGUCCUCUAUCCAAGGACAAUAAAUUAAGUGGACUUUUGGAGCAGGGAGAUGGAAUAGGAGCUUGCUCCAUCCAUUUCUCACAUUGACCCGGUCUUGCAGAAGUUCCAGGAGCAGCGCAUCAAAA